rnacentral:rRNA from 1 species
GUGGGGAAUAUUGGGCAAUGGGGGAAACCCUGACCCAGCGACGCCGCGUGAGGGAAGACGGCCUUCGGGUUGUAAACCUCUUUUGUACGGGAAGAAGGAAGUGACGGUACUGUACGAAUAAGUCCCGGCUAACUACGUGCCAGCAGCCGCGGUAAUACGUAGGGGACGAGCGUUGUCCGGAAUUACUGGGCGUAAAGGGCGCGCAGGCUGUGCUGCAAGUCAGCUGUGAAAGGUCUGGGCUUAACCCGGGCAUGAGGGUGAGACUGCAGUGCUGGAGUGCUGUAGAGGCAAGUGGAAUUCCCAGUGUAGCGGUGAAAUGCGUAGAUAUUGGGAAGAACACCGGUGGCGAAGGCGACUUGCUGGGCAGCAACUGACGCUGAGGCGCGAAAGCCAGGGGAGCAAACGGGAUUAGAUACCCUUGUAGUCC